rnacentral:rRNA from 1 species
CUACGGGACGCAGCAGUGGGGAAUAUUGCACAAUGGAGGAAACUCUGAUGCAGCAACGCCGCGUGGAGGAUGACACUUUUCGGAGCGUAAACUCCUUUUAUAUAGGAAGAAGAUGACGGUACUAUAUGAAUAAGCGCCGGCUAACUCCGUGCCAGCAGCCGCGGUAAUACGGAGGGCGCAAGCGUUACUCGGAAUCACUGGGCGUAAAGAGCGUGUAGGCGGAUUAAAAAGUCAGAAGUGAAAUCCUAUAGCUUAACUAUAGAGCUGCUUCUGAAACUCUUAAUCUAGAAUAUGGGAGAGGUAGAUGGAAUUUCUGGUGUAGGGGUAAAAUCCGUAGAGAUCAGAAGGAAUACCGAUUGCGAAGGCGAUCUACUAGAACAUUAUUGACGCUGAGACGCGAAAGCGUGGGGAGCAAACAGGAUUAGAUACCCUAGUAGUC